AAAAUCAGGGUAACUUUUGUAGAUAUUUCAUUAAUGUUUAUUUUUCUGUCAUCCACAGAUUGAUGCAUCACACAUUUUUUUAAUGAUUUUUCGAUAAGUUUUAAACCAGCUCUGAAAGCAAAUUUCUACCGCCCAAUUUUUACUUAUAAAUCUCGUUCAUAAUAUCUAAUGUAACCUUUUGUAUCAUUUUUUUGUAUCAAAUAAACACAACCAACACAGGGUGUGUUCAUCUUCAACAUCGUGCAGUGGACCCCGGUCAAGUACCUCGGCUACUCGUACCCGCUGUGGGCGCACGCGUUCGGCUGGUUCACCGCCCUGUCCUCGAUGCUGUGCAUCCCCGGCUACAUGAUCUGGCUGUGGAGAAACACCCCCGGCGAUAAGGCCAACAAAAUCCGACUGAUUGUCAGAAUCGAGGACAGCGUCGCCCAGCUGCGGGAGAGAAUGCAAGCUGACCAGGAAAAGGCCAUGGAACUGUAAAUCCGCCGCAGCGGCUCGAGCCCGCCCCGAAAAUUCCAACCAACCAAACCAAACCAUCUCUCCUAAUACUGCAAUACUGCGAGCUUAAGUCAAAACAACUCAACUAUUCACACACCUUCAGUAACGACUUGUGCACACGAGUGAGAACGAGCGAGCGAGCGAGAUAAACCGGAAAUGCUGAAACAAACCCCUUUUUGACCCCAACUUGUUUUCCUUCGAGCGAAUCCUCCUCUCAUCCAGUUUCGGUCCAUAGCGUAAUGUGACGAUUUAAUAGCUCUAGCGCCCUAAAGUAACUGUAACUGUAACGGUAGACGAUAUUUUUUGUUGCAUAAAUGUUAAUAAUUGUUAGAGAAAAGUAAAAACAAAUCGAGGUUUAAUUUAUUCAGUAAUUAUUUUACUAACCAAUAGGACACUCCGGAUUCGAUUUUCAGCCCCCACACACAAACAAACAAACCAACAAAAUCACAUUUUAAGCUAUUUUAUUAUCGUUAGAGAAGAAUACUUUAAAUAAAUCUAUUAAAUGGUAGACUACAUUAAAGCACCUAGUUUUCGCUUACCUUUAGUUAAGUGUAUGUAUCUUGAGCACAUUCUAGCGAUAAGUACGAUUUCGAUUUCCACCACCAGCACGAAGAACACACACAGUUUUUGGCGCAGCUUCACCCGCAAUUUAGAAAAUAAGCACCCAAUGUUCUUUACUGACCUGACGAAGACGAGCUUGUGCGACCGACGACGAACCAGGGAAAACCAAAUCGCUUUGUAUUUAAAGAGGGAACCAUCUUAUCAGUAACGAAUAAAGUGUGAUUUGUAAGAAAAAAAAA